GUGAACAUAGUUUAUUAAAAAUUCUAGCUUGUGAUUCUAGAGAAGGGAAUUAAUUACUCCCUGUUUACC
rnacentral:tRNA from 1 species